AGAGGACGGGCUCAUCCGUGUCGGAUAUUGGGCGUAAGGGCUCGCAGGCGGUUUCUUAAGUCUGAUGUGAAAGCCCCCGGCUCAACCGGGGAGGGUCAUUGGAAACUGGGGAACUUGAGUGCAGAAGAGGAGAGUGGAAUUCCACGUGUAGCGGUGAAAUGCGUAGAGAUGUGGAGGAACACCAGUGGCGAAGGCGACUCUCUGGUCUGUAACUGACGCUGAGGAGCGAAAGCGUGGGGAGCGAACAGGAUUAGAUACCCCCGUAGUCCA
rnacentral:rRNA from 1 species